rnacentral:rRNA from 1 species
GACGAACGCUAGCGGCGUGCCUAAUACAUGCAAGUAGAACGCACAGUUUAUACCGUAGCUUGCUACACCAUACACUGUGAGUUGCGAACGGGUGAGUAACGCGUAGGUAACCUGCCUGGUAGCGGGGGAUAACUAUUGGAAACGAUAGCUAAUACCGCAUAAUAUUAAUUAUUGCAUGAUAAUUGAUUGAAAGAUGCAAUUGCAUCACUACCAGAUGGACCUGCGUUGUAUUAGCUAGUAGGUGAGGUAACGGCUCACCUAGGCGACGAUACAUAGCCGACCUGAGAGGGUGAUCGGCCACACUGGGACUGAGACACGGCCCAGACUCCUACGGGAGGCAGCAGUAGGGAAUCUUCGGCAAUGGACGAAAGUCUGACCGAGCAACGCCGCGUGAGUGAAGAAGGUUUUCGGAUCGUAAAGCUCUGUUGUAAGAGAAGAACGGGUGUGAGAGUGGAAAGUUCACACUGUGACGGUAUCUUACCAGAAAGGGACGGCUAACUACGUG